rnacentral:rRNA from 1 species
GUAAAGCGAGUGUAGGUGGCUCAUUAAGUCACAUGUGAAAUCCCCGGGCUUAACCUGGGAACUGCAUGUGAUACUGGUGGUGCUAGAAUAUGUGAGAGGGAAGUAGAAUUCCAGGUGUAGCGGUGAAAUGCGUAGAGAUCUGGAGGAAUACCGAUGGCGAAGGCAGGUUCCUGGCAUAAUAUUGACACUGAGAUUCGAAAGCGUGGGUAGCAAACAGGAUUAGAUACCCUGGUAGUCCACGCCGUAAACGAUGUCUACUAGCCGUUGGGGUCCUUGAGACUUUAGUGGCGCAGUUAACGCGAUAAGUAGACCGCCUGGGGAGUACGGCCGCAAGGUUAAAACUCAAAUGAAUUGACGGGGGCCCGCACAAGCGGUGGAGCAUGUGGUUUAAUUCGAUGCAACGCGAAGAACCUUACCUGGUCUUGACAUAGUGAGAAUCUCUCAGAGAUGAGAGAGUGCCUUCGGGAACUCACAUACAGGUGCUGCAUGGCUGUCGUCAGCUCGUGUCGUGAGAUGUUGGGUUAAGUCCCGCAACGAGCGCAACCCUUUUCCUUAUUUGCCAGCGGGUUAAGCCGGGAACUUUAAGGAUACUGCCAGUGACAAACUGGAGGAAGGCGGGGACGACGUCAAGUCAUCAUGGCCCUUACGACCAGGGCUACACACGUGCUACAAUGGUAGGUACAGAGGGUUGCUACACAGCGAUGUGAUGCUAAUCUCAAAAAGCCUAUCGUAGUCCGGAUUGGAGUCUGCAACUCGACUCCAUGAAGUCGGAAUCGCUAGU